CCCUAAUGCUGACUAAAGGGAAAAGUUGAGUUUAGGGUUUAAAACCCUAAUCCUGAUUAAAGGGAAAAGUUCAGUUUAGGGUUUAAAACCCUAAUGCUGAUAGCAUGGAAAAGUUUAGUUUAGGGUUUAAAACCCUAAUGCUGGCUGAAUGGAAAAAGUUCAGUUUAGGGUUUAAAACCCUAAUGCUGAUUGCAUGGAAAAGCUCAGUUUAGGGUUUAAAACCCUAAUGCUGGCUGAAUGGAAAAAAGUUCAGUUUAGGGUUUAAAACCCUAAUGCUGACUAAAGGAAAAAUUCAGUUUAGGGUUUAAAACCCUAAUGCUGAUAGCAUGGAAAAGCUCAGUUUAGGGUUUAAAACCCUAAUGCUGGCUGAAUGGAAAAAAGUUCAGUUUAGGGUUUAAAACCCUAAUGAUGACUAAAGGAAAAAUUCAGUUUAGGGUUUAAAACCCUAAUGCUGAUUGCAUGGGAAAGCUCAGUUUAGGGUUUAAAACCCUAAUGCUGGCUGAAUGGAAAAAGUUCAGUUUAGGGUUUAAAACCCUAAUGCUGACUAAAGGAAAAAUUCAGUUUAGGGUUUAAAAUCCUAAUGCUGACUGCAUGGAAAAGCUCAGUUUAGGGUUUAAAACCCUAAUACUGGCUGAACGGAAAAAGUUCAGUUUAGGGUUUAAAAACCCUAAUGCUGACUGCAUGAAAAAGCUCAGUUUAGGGUUUAAAACCCUAAUGCUGGCUGAAUGGAAAAAAGUUCAGUUUAGGGUUUAAAACCCUAAUGCUGAUUGCAUGGAAAAGUUUAGUUUAGGGUUUAAAACCCUAAUGCUGGCUGAACGGAAAAAGUUCAGUUUAGGGUUUAAAAACCCUAAUGCUGACUGCAUGAAAAAGCUCAGUUUAGGGUUUAAAACCCUAAUGCUGGCUGGAUGGAAAAAAGUUCAGUUUAGGGUUUAAAACCCUAAUGCUGACUAAUGGAAAAAAGUUCAGUUUAGGGUUUAAAACCCUAAUGCUGACUAAAGGAAAAAUUUAGUUUAGGGUUUAAAAUCCUAAUGCUGACUGCAUGGAAAAGCUCAGUUUAGGGUUUAAAACCCUAA
rnacentral:lncRNA from 1 species